rfam:Pan troglodytes isolate Yerkes chimp pedigree #C0471 (Clint) chromosome 12, whole genome shotgun sequence.
GCCGGGCGUGGUAGCCCACGCCUGUAAUCCUAGCUACUCAGGAGGCUGAGGCAGGAGAAUUGCUUGAGCCCAGGAGGUGGAGGCUGCAGUGAGCUGAGAUCAUGACACUGCAUUCCAGCCUGGGUGACAGAGCAAGACUCUGUCUCAA